rnacentral:rRNA from 1 species
GGGUCAGUAGGUUGGUCGUGCCACCGGUACGUACUGGUCUCACUGAUUCCUCCUUCCUGAAGAACCGUAAUGCCAUUAAUUUGGUGUUGCGGGGAAACAGGACUGUUACUUUGAAAAAAUUAGAGUGUUUAAAGCAAGCUAACGCUUGAAUACAUUAGCAUGGAAUAAUGAAAUAGGACGAUCGAUCCUAUUUUGUAGGUUUCUAGGAUUGACGUA